CCUGCCUUACACAGGGGGAUAACAACCGGAAACGGUUGCUAAAACCGCAUGAAGUAUGAACAUCGCAUGAUGAUCAUAUUAAAUAUUUAUAGGUGUAAGAUGGGCCCGCGUCUGAUUAGCUAGUUGGUGGGGUAAUAGCCUACCAAGGCGAUGAUCAGUAGCCGGCUUGAGAGAGUGACCGGCCACAUUGGGACUGAGACACGGCCCAAACUCCUACGGGAGGCAGCAGUGGGGAAUCUUGCACAAUGGGCGAAAGCCUGAUGCAGCGACGCCGCGUGAGUGAAGACGUACUUCGGUAUGUAAAGCUCUAUCAGCAGGGACGAUAAUGACGGUACCUGACUAAGAAGCCCCGGCUAACUACGUGCCAGCAGCCGCGGUAAUACGUAGGGGGCAAGCGUUAUCCGGAUUUACUGGGUGUAAAGGGAGCGUAGGUGGUAGUGUAAGUCAGAUGUGAAAGCCCGUUGCUUAACAGCGGGAUUGCAUCAGAAACUACAUUACUAGAGUGCAGGAGAGGUAAGUGGAAUUCCUAGUGUAGCGGUGAAAUGCGUAGAUAUUAGGAGGAACAUCAGUGGCGAAGGCGGCUUACUGGACUGUAACUGACACUAAGGCUCGAAAGCGUGGGGAGCAAACAGGAUUAGAUACCCUGGUUAGUCCACGCCCCGUAACGAUGAAUACUA
rnacentral:rRNA from 1 species